CCACCUCCACCGCCGGCCACGACUCCACCUCCGCCGCAGGCCACGGCUCCACCUCCACCCCACCUCCGCAGCAGGCCUCAGCUCCAACUCCACCGCGCCCUUCCGCCUCAACCGCCGGCUACUUCCUCCCAUCCCCCGCAGCCUCCACAGACCCCUUGACCAAGCGGCUCGCUCCCGCCACCAUCGGACGGCCGCGACUCCACCUCCACCGCCGGUCACGACCCCACCUCGCCGCCUCCAAUGCCGGCCAGCAGUCCACCUCCAUGCCCCCCUUCUGGAUCCGGUCUGGCUACGUCUCCCUCACCAUUCCCCUCCGCCUCCACCAAACCCUAGAUGCGCACUAACCCACCUCACGGUUGCCUAUCUACUGCUCGUACACAUAAGAUGACGACCUCGUCCAUUGUGUUGAAAACACCUCUUUGGCCAAUGGAAGUGAUCUCGUUGCCCAGCCUGAGCACAACCAGAUGGUGAACGAGGAAUGUGAUGACAACCAGCCUCUUCAGUUGUUAUUGUACUGACUUUAAUCUACAUUUAACAAUAAGAUGAAAUUCAGAAUCUGAAUUCGGCAAAUCAAUUAUAUAUGCUUGAUCUAAAUCUUAAUUUUAGAUCACAUUGACUGCAUCUUUCUGUGUAGAUUCUGAAUUUAGCAAUUCAAUCAUAAUAUAUGCUUAAUUUUGUGAACAUCCAUUCUUGAUAUCCUUCAAGUCAUGGUUAUGGUAUGUACUCCCUCCAUUCCUAAAUAUAAGUCUUUUUAGAGAUUUCAAUGCGGACUACAUACGGAUGUAUAUAGAUGUACUUUAGAGUGUAGAUUCACUCAUUUUGCGUUUUCCUAGCUUAGGCGCUAAUUAUGCGUUUGGGCACCUACUUGCGCUUUCCUAGCUUAGGCGUGAUUAGGCGAAAUUAGGCGCAAUUAGGCGUUAGUACUGUAACGUGAAGAAAUAAGCUAGAUGGGCUGGGCUAGCCCACUAAACCAUAGGCCCAUCUUCAUAUCCUCCUACUAAAAGCUCUCGUCUGCUGCAGUCGAUAGGAAAUUUAGGUUUCCUCCUCACGCCGCCUCCCCCCCUCGUCCUUUCUGUCUCGUUGCACGAGGCUGCCUCCCUCCCUCUUCCUCUGUGCCUUGUCGGAGAAGCUCGAUCCCUCGCCGGAGAAGCUCAAUCCCUCGCCGGAGAAGCUCGAUUUGUCGUCGGGGCAGUUGAAUCCCUCGUCGGCGAGGAUGAAUCCUCGCAGGGGAGGUCGAAUCCUCGCCGGGGAGACUGAUUUCUCACCUCAGAAAGCUGAUUCCUCGCCGGAGAGGCUGAUUUCUCGCCGGAGGACCUCGCCGGCCGCUUUUUUGAGCGCCUAGGGCCAAAGCGAGGCGCUAUGCCAACGCCCAGCGCUUAAGCGCGCCUAGGCGAGCGCCUAAUAGCGCCUUCUUGAACAGUGUGCGCACAACCAUCUGCAGUAACUUUUCUUGUGUUGAAUAGCAAAAGAAAUAGAUAAAGAAUAUUACCUGCAUAGAGUUGUUUAUGCAUGUGAAAAUGUUCCUUACCAUUGUUCAUGUGUUUAUCUGCUAUAUUGUCAACUAAUUAAGCCUAUGGGAUCAUCUACUAGUGCAUAGAUAAACUUAUCCUGAACAAAUGGAUAAAGUAAAGUUCACUUUUGGUAUUGUAUAUGUUCUUUCUUCAUAGUUACUAAAUCUGAAGCAACGGUGCAUCCUGCAUAUAUGCCAUUUUCAGGGAGAAAAUACAAAGAUGAAAAACACACUGCAUUGCAUUUGUUCAAGGAGUGCCACUACAACAAGAAGAAAGGGUACACAGAUAUCGUACAACUACAAUCUGCCAUUUUAAGUCAAGGUUCGAGGAGUGAUAACCAUAUAACAGUGCUUACUUUUUUUUAAUAGAUCCAGUAGUACAAUAGUCAGUAAUUUAUAAAGUCAGCCUAAAGAAAGGUAGAAGAAUAAUUUGACUUUGAAACAAUUGAGCACAUAUCACUUUAAUGAAAUGACUAGAUUUUUUCUGUACUAUUCUUUGCUUCUUACAUGAAUAUGACCACUUGACAACCGUUGAAUGAUUUAUGAAAUCUUCAUAUCUUACCUACAAAGACAACAAUUCAUACAUGGGUUCAAUUUAUUUUUAUCCAUUUUUGGGCAGUUUUCAUGAUGCGUAUUGUGUAUGCACAUGCUACAUUUGUUUUCAUGAUUUCUUAGAAGAUUACUUGAACAUAAUCUUUUUCAUAGUUAGAUGUCUUCAUCUGUAAAUCACAUACAUACAUGUGAUCAAACAAGGGAGCUCACCUAUCUCCUCCAAAUUUAAGUGUGGCUUGCUAGGAUAAUGCUGAGAGCGUCCAGAGUUUCUGCGUCUGCUUGGUGGGCCCUUCAAGCUGGGUUGUGUGCUUGUCUAUACCACUCCCUCCGAUCCAAAUUAAUUGUCACAGCUUUAAUACAACUUGGUACUAAAGUUGUACUAGAGCUACGGCAAUUAAUUUGGAUCAGAGGGAGUAGUUUUUUUAGGGAAGUUUACUGCUAGGUAAGAGAAUUCAUUCGUCCAUCUUGUGCUUAGUGUGGGUGAGCUUGGGCCAAGUGGCUGGGUUGUGUGGCCUUUGACGUGUCUAUCGCUGGGUGUGUGAGUGUGUAAUGUGUGUGUUGGUUUCUUUGGUUGGUCAAUUAAGUGGGGCCGCUCGGUUAAAAGUGCAUUGUCUGUGACCUUUGGGUCCGUUUGUUACUGCGUAUUUUUUUCUAUUUAUUUUGUGUUGAGUCAUAGUAUCGGUGCAUGUUUCAUUUUUAUUUGUUUGUUUGGCUGCUGCUGGUCCAUGUGUUUUUUGGCCACAAUUUUGUUGCAAUCUUGCUGGUCAGAGGGGCUUGCUGCUACCAUAAAUUUCACACGAGCAGUGUUAUACCUAUGAUAAUUCUUGUACUAUCUAUAUAAAAUGUUGCAUUGUAGGCAUCCAUUUAUUCUCUGCAGCUUUAUCGUAUGAGCUGGGAUAACAUUGUACAGCCAUCAGAUGCAGUUUUGUGGUAUGGUAAGAGUAAUUUGAAUUGCAUUUGGAUGUACCAAAUGCCAUUAUACUUGUGCACAUCGGAGUCCGCUGUUCUGCCCAGUUUGUCUUUAUGUGUCUUGUGGCAAAGCUGUCUCAUAACCUCAUAACCAUGUUUGUUUGUUGCUUGCAUUGCUAGACUCAUAUGGAAAAGAAUUUCUCUCAACCUACUAAAGAUGGACAACCUAUCUCUGCAACUGAGGUUAUAUCUUAUGUGCUCACUCACCACACCAAGAAGCUUAGGUUUCUUCGGCAUGUUGGGAUCCAGCAUGUGUGUGAGAGAACCAGUGGUAUCAACCUUGAAGGGCAACUGGCAGCAGACAAGAAAGAGAACGCAGAGCCUUGGUAGGUUGUCAAUACCUUGACUACGAAGGUAGAAGAAUCAGGACAAGCAAGGGUCAGACAAGAAGAGGAGUACAAGAAUAAGCAAGCUGAGAUGGACGCAAAAGUUGACCUUUUGCUAAGCCAGAGGUGAUCAAGUUGAGCUACAGGGUAAGGUGGUCGUUGAAACACAAUAUUGUUGUAAGGUGAUGGCAAUAUGUGAUCUUUUGCUGGUGCCAUGCUUUUGUAAGGUGAUGGCAAUAUCUGUUAUGCUUUUGCUGCUGCAAAAUGCAUGCAUUUUGUUUGUGGAUAUGAAUGCAAGCAUUUUAUCGUAGGUAGUAUUUGGCACUAGAGUAAUUGUAGUUUCAUAUUUAUGUUGGACGAGAACAUGUAAUUUGAUGUUGUAACUUAAUUUAUGUUGUCAUAUA